rnacentral:lncRNA from 1 species
CGGGAGCACCCCCAAGUCGUAACGAGGCGUACUUGACCCCGAAAGGGUCUUAUACAAACCACAUAGUCAUUCAUUGCAUUCAAUAAUGAUAAUAGUGAGGAAUGAAAAACUUAUUUACAUCCACACAUUCAAACUUCAUUAAAACAACUUUAAAAACACACAGCGGAAGUCUAAGUCUCACAUGGCCAUCUUAGACACAAUCACAAAACAUAAGUAGGGACACGGCCCUUUACAAUCAAAAGAAGUCUAUUAAGUCUAUUACAAGAACCUUAUCAUAAAAUUAGAAUAGAAAAGUCUUGUCCUCGACAUAUGAGGACAUACCACAAGAUCUUGGAAGAACUUCAAGUUCCAAGCUUACUAUAGAAUCCGCUCACUUUUCGGAACCU